rnacentral:rRNA from 1 species
UACAGAGGUCUCAAGCGUUGUUCGGAUUCAUUGGGCGUAAAGGGUGCGUAGGCGGCGCGGUAAGUCGGGUGUGAAAUCUUGGAGCUUAACUCCGAAACUGCAUUCGAUGCUGGCGUGCUUGAGGACUGGAGAGGAGACUGGAAUUCAUGGUGUAGCAGUGAAAUGCGUAGAGAUCAUGAGGAAGACCAGUGGCGAAGGCGGGUCUCUGGACAGUUCCUGACACUGAGACACGAAGGCCAGGGGAGCAAACGGG